GUGGACUGCUACAUGACGUCAUGCUAUGUGGACUGCUAGGUCAUGCUAUGUGGACUGCUACAUGACGUCAUGCUAUGUGGACGGCUCCUACUGCUACAUGACGUCAUGCUAUGUGGACUGCUACAUGACGUCAUGCUAUGUGGACGGCUCCUACUGCUACAUGACGUCAUGCUAUGUGGACUGCUACAUGACGUCAUGCUAUGUGGACUGCUCCUACUGCUACAUGAUGUCAUGCUAUGUGGACUGCUCCUACUGCUACAUGACGUCAUGCUAUGUGGACUGCUCCUACUGCUACAUGACGUCAUGCUAGGUGGACUGCUCCUACUGCUACAUGACGUCAUGCUAUGUGGACUGCUCCUACUGCUACAUGACGUCAUGCUAGGUGGACUGCUCCUACUGCUACAUGACGUCAUGCUAUGUGGACUGCUCCUACUGCUACAUGACGUCAUGCUAUGUGGACUGCUCCUACUGCUACAUGACGUCAUGCUAUGUGGACUGCUCCUACUGCUACAUGACGUCAUGCUAUGUGGACUGCUCCUACUGCUACAUGACGUCAUGCUAUGUGGACUGCUCCUACUGCUACAUGACGUCAUGCUAGGUGGACUGCUCCUACUGCUACAUGACGUCAUGCUAGGUGGACUGCUCCUACUGCUACAUGACGUCAUGCUAUGUGGACUGCUACAUGUACAAAGAGUAUCUACUAGUACUACUACAUUAAAUGUGCAUGGACUGAUCCUACUACAUUUGUACUACUACAUGUACCAACAGUCCAACAGUAUCUCAUUCGACAAAAUAUCACAGCCAAGACUGCAGCUAUGCUAUAGUUUCCCCAGUGAAAUUUAAGCAAAUUAAUUUUCUCGUUGAAUUUUCCAAAUGUAUAUAAUUAUUUAUUAUAAUUGUAGGCUACUACUUCACUACAGUUCAUGUUUUGUAUUUCCUUAAGUUUACUGUGUACCGGUACUGGGUGUGUUGUCAUGACACACUGCUGUUUGCUGUGGCUGUUGUCAUGACACACUGCUGUUUGCUGUGGCUGUUGUCAUGACACACUGCUGUUUGCUGUGGCUGUUGUUGUCAUAGUUACCGGAGCUGGUGGGUUGUGAGUGCCCCCCCCCCCCCCCCCCCCCCACUCCGCCUGUCGUACCCCCGGCCGUGGUGUACAUGAGGAAGUGGUUUGAUCUUCUGUCGCUGUUGUGUGUUCUCGCUCACUCUCUCAUUCCUUCAUUAAAACACGCGUUGAUCUUCUGUCGCUGUUGUGUGUUCUCGCUCACUCUCUCAUUCCUUCAUUAAAACACGCGUUGAUCUUCACU